CGCCUCUGCGAAGCCCCUGCCUCGGGCCCUGUGCAACGCUUUUUCCACGGAGUCUUGCUCUGUCACCCAGGCUGGAGUGCAAUGGCACGAUCUCGGCUCACUGCAACCUCUGCCUCCUGGGUUCAAGCGAUUCUCCUGCCUCGGCCUCCCAAGUAGCUGGGAUUACAGGUGCGUGCCACCAGGCCUGGCUAAUUGUUUGUAUUUUUAGCAGAGGCAGGGUUUCACCAUGUUGGCCAAGCUGGUCUCGAACUCCUGACCUCAAGCAAUUCACCCUCCUUGGCUUCCCAAAGUGCUGGGAUUACAGGAAGAAAAGUCAGAAGACCAGGACCUCCAGGGCCUCAAGGACAAACCCCUCAAGUUUAAAAAGGUGAAGAAAGAUAAGAAAGAAGAGAAAGAGGGCAAGCAUGAGCCCGUGCAGCCAUCAGCCCACCACUCUGCUGAGCCCGCAGAGGCAGGCAAAGCAGAGACAUCAGAAGGGUCAGGCUCC
rnacentral:lncRNA from 10 species